UGCAGGGUAUAGACCCGAAACCCGGUGAUCUAGCCAUGGGCAGGUUGAAGGUUGGGUAACACUAACUGGAGGACCGAACCGACUAAUGUUGAAAAAUUAGCGGAUGACCUGUGGCUGGGGGUGAAAGGCCAAUCAAACCGGGAGAUAGCUGGUUCUCCCCGAAAGCUAUUUAGGUAGCGCCUCGUGAAUUCAUCUCCGGGGGUAGAGCACUGUUUCGGCUAGGGGGCCAUCCCGGCUUACCAACCCGAUGCAAACUGCGAAUACCGGAGAAUGUUAUCACGGGAGACACACGGCGGGUGCUAACGUCCGUCGUGAAGAGGGAAACAACCCAGACCGCCAGCUAAGGUCCCAAAGUCAUGGUUAAGUGGGAAACGAUGUGGGAAGGCCCAGACAGCCAGGAUGUUGGCUUAGAAGCAGCCAUCAUUUAAAGAAAGCGUAAUAGCUCACUGGUCGAGUCGGCCUGCGCGGAAGAUGUAACGGGGCUAAACCAUGCACCGAAGCUGCGGCAGCGACACUGUGUGUUGUUGGGUAGGGGAGCGUUCUGUAAGCCUGUGAAGGUGUGUCGUGAGGCAUGCUGGAGGUAUCAGAAGUGCGAAUGCUGACAUAAGUAACGAUAAAGCGGGUGAAAAGCCCGCUCGCCGGAAGACCAAGGGUUCCUGUCCAACGUUAAUCGGGGCAGGGUGAGUCGACCCCUAAGGCGAGGCCGAAAGGCGUAGUCGAUGGGAAACGGGUUAAUAUUCCCGUACUUGGUGUUACUGCGAAGGGGGGACGGAGAAGGCUAUGUUGGCCGGGCGACGGUUGUCCCGGUUUAAGCGUGUAGGUGUGUGUUCCAGGUAAAUCCGGUUCACUUUAACACUGAGGCGUGACGACGAGGCACUACGGUGCUGAAGCAACAAAUGCCCUGCUUCCAGGAAAAGCCUCUAAGCAUCAGGUAACAUCAAAUCGUACCCCAAACCGACACAGGUGGUCAGGUAGAGAAUACCAAGGCGCUUGAGAGAACUCGGGUGAAGGAACUAGGCAAAAUGGUGCCGUAACUUCGGGAGAAGGCACGCUGACACGUAGGUGAAGUGAUUUACUCAUGGAGCUGAAGUCAGUCGAAGAUACCAGCUGGCUGCAACUGUUUAUUAAAAACACAGCACUGUGCAAACACGAAAGUGGACGUAUACGGUGUGACGCCUGCCCGGUGCCGGAAGGUUAAUUGAUGGGGUCAGCGCAAGCGAAGCUCCUGAUCGAAGCCCCGGUAAACGGCGGCCGUAACUAUAACGGUCCUAAGGUAGCGAAAUUCCUUGUCGGGUAAGUUCCGACCUGCACGAAUGGCGUAAUGAUGGCCAGGCUGUCUCCACCCGAGACUCAGUGAAAUUGAACUCGCUGUGAAGAUGCAGUGUACCCGCGGCAAGACGGAAAGACCCCGUGAACCUUUACUAUAGCUUGACACUGAACAUUGAGCCUUGAUGUGUAGGAUAGGUGGGAGGCUUUGAAGUGUGGACGCCAGUCUGCAUGGAGCCGACCUUGAAAUACCACCCUUUAAUGUUUGAUGUUCUAACGUGGACCCGUUACCCGGGUUGCGGACAGUGUCUGGUGGGUAGUUUGACUGGGGCGGUCUCCUCCUAAAGAGUAACGGAGGAGCACGAAGGUUGGCUAAUCCUGGUCGGACAUCAGGAGGUUAGUGCAAUGGCAUAAGCCAGCUUGACUGCGAGCGUGACGGCGCGAGCAGGUGCGAAAGCAGGUCAUAGUGAUCCGGUGGUUCUGAAUGGAAGGGCCAUCGCUCAACGGAUAAAAGGUACUCCGGGGAUAACAGGCUGAUACCGCCCAAGAGUUCAUAUCGACGGCGGUGUUUGGCACCUCGAUGUCGGCUCAUCACAUCCUGGGGCUGAAGUAGGUCCCAAGGGUAUGGCUGUUCGCCAUUUAAAGUGGUACGCGAGCUGGGUUUAGAACGUCGUGAGACAGUUCGGUCCCUAUCUGCCGUGGGCGCUGGAGAACUGAGGGGGGCUGCUCCUAGUACGAGAGGACCGGAGUGGACGCAUCACUGGUGUUCGGGUUGUCAUGCCAAUGGCACUGCCCGGUAGCUAAAUGCGGAAGAGAUAAGUGCUGAAAGCAUCUAAGCACGAAACUUGCCCCGA
rnacentral:rRNA from 1 species